rnacentral:snoRNA from 1 species
CCUGCCCCUAGAGGUCCUGCAGAUGUGUCUGCUGUGGCACAUGUGUGUCACUAUGUGUCAGAGGAGAGAUGGUAUGUCUAA